UUAAUCACGCCGAUUUUCAGGAGGGAAAAACCAAGGGACUGGCCGAGAUAGACAUCCCGGUCGCAAUGUUGGAGGGACAGAUCUCCUACGCCUAGUCCAAGGAGGAGAAAACACGGCUCGAGGAAGAACUUAGGUUGUUGAAAAAGAAUCGCAAUUUGAUGGAUCAAACUAUGGAUAAAAUUUUGGAUCUGUCGAUGGGAGGGUUGAAGGUUGACUUACUGAGCACAGGCGCUGUUUCAAAAAACUAGCUAUUCAGUUCCAAAAGCUUUGUUUUGACAACAGUAACUACUACGUUGGCCACAUUCUGCCUAAGCUGUUUACCGUCUGCAAGGCAAGCGCCGAAGAGCGGGCAAUCGAAUCAAUGUCAACAGUUUGCACCGAACAACACCGGUCUCUCAAAAAUGCAGUUUAAGUUCCUCCUUGAAUAAAGAAAUAUA